rnacentral:misc_RNA from 1 species
AACCUAGCACACCUGCGGUGUGUACCUGCGGAAGGAUCAUUACCGAGUUUACAACUCCCAAACCCCUGUGAACAUACCUAUACGUUGCCUCGGCGGAUCAGCCCGCGCCCCGUAAAACGGGACGGCCCGCCCGAGGACCCUAAACUCUGUUUUUAGUGGAACUUCUGAGUAAAACAAACAAAUAAAUCAAAACUUUUAACAAUGGAUCU